UACGUAGGGUGCAAGCGUUGUCCGGAAUUACUGGGCGUAAAGGGCGCGUAGGCGGCCUUCUAAGUCGAACGUGAAAUCCCCGGGCUCAACCCGGGAACUGCGUCCGAUACUGGGAGGCUUGAAUCCGGGAGAGGGAUGUGGAAUUCCAGGUGUAGCGGUGAAAUGCGCAGAUAUCAGGAGGAACACCGGUGGCGAAGGCGGCUUGCUGGGCCAGUUCUGACGCUGAGGAGCGAAAGCGUGGGGAGCGAACAGG
rnacentral:rRNA from 1 species